rnacentral:rRNA from 1 species
UGGGGAAUCUUGCACAAUGGACGAAAGUCUGAUGCAGCAACGCCGCGUGGGGGAUGAAGCUUUUCGGAGUGUAAACCCCUUUCGACCCGGAAGAAUGCCCGCAAGGGUUUGACGGUACGGGUAUAAGAAGCCCCGGCUAACUACGUGCCAGCAGCCGCGGUAAUACGUAGGGGGCCAGCGUUGCUCGGAAUUACUGGGCGUAAAGGGUCCGUAGGCGGUGUGGCAAGUCGGGAGUGAAAUCUCUGGGCUUAACCCAGAGGCUGCUUCCGAAACUGCCAUGCUAGAGUGUGAGAGAGGCGAGUGGAAUUACGGGUGUAGCGGUGAAAUGCGUAGAUAUCCGUAGGAACAUCCGAGGCGAAGGCGGCUCGCUGGAUCACAACUGACGCUGAGGGACGAGAGCUAGGGGAGCAAACAGGAUUAGAUACCCUGGUAGUCCUAGCCCUAAACCAUCAGGACUUGGGGUGUGCCCUGUACGGGGCACGUCCCGUAGCUAACGCGUUAAGUCCUGCGCCUGGGGAGUACGGUCGCAAGGCUG